GCCGCGCCCACUUCCUCUUUGCCCCUACAACCUACGCAGUAGAGCCGGUAGGAACCCUAGUCCUACCACUAAUAUAUAUACAUGAUUGUUGCACCAUCACAAGAUUUCCAUUAUAUACAUGGGCAUAACUUUCUUUACUGUGAAUUAAUCGACACGAUGCUUCUGUUUUAAGGAAUGGCAAUGCUAAAUUCUACAGUGGUACACUCUACUCUGUCGAAUGUUUACAAACACCACAAAGCUAGAGAUCUAUUGUGGAAACCUUUCUUUCUUUUGUUUGUUAUAACUUCUUAGUGUAAAAAUAAAUAUGGCUUGUCCAUUACGAAACAAAUAUGUAAGAUUUAUUACUUUUCAAAGCUGAAUUGUUCCUGACAAUUACACAUGAGAGUGCAAAGGUGAGAAGCAAAAAUUUGAAGCACGGAACAAAAAAUUCACAAACCAAUGCAUUUAGUAACCAUCGUGGUUCUUACAGGUCCUUUGCAAUCCAAAUUCCAGUUCUAUGACUUGCAAGGAAGGAUGAAGUCCAUGUCAUGAAAAUUUUAUUAUGUGGUCGCUGCCUCCUCCAGCCAUGGAUUUCAAAGGUACGCAGAUUCACCUACAACAUGCAUAUGGGAGAACUUGCAGAUCUGAAGGAAUCAAGCAUCUAGCUAAGGUGCCUGUAGCCACGAUCAGUGCUCCAUCGAGCAAUUUCUUAGGGCUGCACAGAUGCAACAACCUGGUAGAUAGGAUCAUCCUCUAUCAAAAAUAGCCAAAGGAAGAUGUCAGCAUCAGAGAUCCCAUAUAGGCCAGGAUAAUGUCAAAAUAUCUUGGCAUGGGCACGUGGCUCAUAGCCUGAACUUGAGACCGUUUACUCCAUGCUCGUGGUGGAGGCCUAGUCUCGACGGGGGCAUGGCAGUGGCGUGCGUUAGGAUUGGAUUCCGUCGAAGACCUAUGAUUGAUUUUCUAGCUGAGGCUGCGUGCGUGAGGGCUGGAGAGUCGGUUGUAGCCACGGGAUUCUGGCGGCGGCAGCGUGCGUGAGGGCAGGGGAGUCUGUAGCCCUAUUAUGUUUUUCUUCUUUGAACGAUGGACUCAGGUAAUGGGAAAACUAAUCUAUGGCAUGACCCUGUAUAUCUUAUCUUCUUUUCAUCAUGGAGUCAAGGUUUCUAAAAAAAUUAUGGCAUUGCUGAAUCGUAGAGUCAGGUGAAAGCUAUUUUGACGCAUCAUAUGCUUUAGUAGGAGUUAUCUCUACCUCUCUAUCUCUACCUAAUCUCUACCUAAUAAUAAUAAAGCAAAUUGGGUUUCUGCUUGUCCGUCAUUAGCAUUUUUUCUAAAAAGCCCCUCCCUUUUUUAGUAUUUAACACGCAGUAUAAUUUAAAGUCUGUUUCUUCCUGAGAUAAUGAUUCGUUUUUUGCAAAAAGGACCCCGGCACCACCACCACAGCCCCGCCUUAUCCACUGCCGGCCUUCACAAACGGGCAGCGGCGCGCUUGCCGCGGCGUCCGCUCCGCCCGAGCCCAGUAAUGGGGCGAGGCGUCGCGGCGGCGUUCCUGCACGCCUUGUCGGCCUUGGAGCUAGCCUUGGCGGGGGCGGGCCGAGGCGUCGCGGCGGAGGACGUUAAGCAGACGGGCACGCGCCGCCGGCGCGCUUGCCGUGGGCGUCCGCUUCGCCCGAGCCCAGGAGUGGGGCGAGAGGUCGCGCCGGCGUUCCUACACGCCUUGUCGCCCUUGAAGCUGGCCUUGGCGGGCCGAGGCGUCGCGGCGGAGGACGACAAGGCGGCCGGCGUGCUCUGUUGGGGCGACGCGUCGCGGCGCUCCGGCUCCAGCAGAUGACGGCAGAGAGCCAGGUGUGGCUUUGUGUCGCCAACAGCCACGAGGUCAUCGGCGCCGGCCACCGUGCCAGGCUGGACCAGCUGCUGCAGCCCCCCUGCGCCGUUGCCGUCGCCGUGGCACAAGAAGCGCGAGUUCCCCCUCGCUAUCGGAGGCUGGGUGUCGUUCUCUAGUGCAGAUUGUCUAAUUGAGUUUUUGAAAGCGUCGUCCACGUCUGCACUUCAUGGGUCCAUACACUGGGAACUCACGCCUGAGAACUUCCUGCUCACCAGAUUGGUUUCAGUUUCUCUGUCUCCAUCGAAGAAGGUCAGCACUUUGCCUCGAACAGUUUCAUGAUUACACUCAUGACAAGAUUUACAGUACAGUAGUCUCAUGCGUUGAGCUCAUAAUACUGCAGUACGGACAUACAUUUUCCAAGCAUAAAUUAAUGCAGAAGUUAUUGCAACAGGAGGGCCUCUAAUUGUAAUUCAUAUACACAUUUCAGCUCAAUAACCAUAUAACGCAUCUUGCCCGAGUUUGAUACUUCCGACUAUUUCCAUGUCUUUCGGGUCAAAGUUAAGUUAGCUCUAUAUACGAGCAGGCAUUUUAUUCUUUGGGAGCAAGCAAGAAUCAAUAUAUUCUCUCGCAAUAUUAUCUCCUCCUUCCCCUUGUCUUCCUAAUCCCCUGCAGAUGGCAUGACUAGGUAGGUUCAUAACAGUUGUUGUAACUAUCCGUCCGGUCAUGAAUCAACAAUUACAAUUGUUUUGACUUCUACGAUCAGUUCAGCUGCCUAUGUUGUACUGCCGCUGCCAUUUAAAGAUUUAAGUUGUCAGGUGGAUAUAGGUUCCAUUAGAUUGAAAGUAAUGAAAUUUUAUUUGCCAACCUGGCUGCACUUUGUGAUGCUUUAUCUAUGUAUAUACUUGAAGUUCAAAUGUGAUGUAUGCUUUACUCCUUAUUUGAUACUUGCAUUUGUCGCAAGCACCUUGCUGUUCUGAGUAAUGGUUGAUAUCUUACAUUUAGCCGAGAAGCUGAAAACUUACGAGUUGGAAAACCUUCUAGAUAUACCUAAAAAGACCUUGAAGAUAUCUUCUACUAGAAUGGACGAGCUGAUUGACUGGCGAUGGAGAUGCAGCAGUGACCUGCAAUUCUUUCUGUUGUGGAUGGUUCAUUUUGAAAUCUUUUUUAUAUCUGACAAGACACAAGAAAACAACAAUCUAUCCUGUUAUAUUUACCACUAUCAUCUACAGUGAGUGCUAAGUUGCCCAUAAAUUUUAGUUGACUUCUGUUCAGAGUGAUCUGAAAAAUAGAUAGCAAAAAAGAUUAGUGGGUAUUACAUUUGGAUUAGUUACAUUUGGGCAAAUAAAUGAGUAGAAGUCAAUUUUGUUUGCUUCAUGUUUCACUUCUUUGAUCUCUUCAUCAUUCUCAUUUUGUUUCAUUGCUUACCAUUUGUUCGCAUUUUUUUCUAGCAGUGGCAAGCAUGGUUAGGGCGAGCAACGAGGGUUCCUGUAGUGCAUAACCAUUUCAAGUCGCCCAUGUUCUAAAGAGAGAUCAGAAGUGCCAGCUACUGAAGCAAAAAAAAAGGACCUGAUACACAUUGUAAUCAUGGACUGCUGAUAUACCUGAUGCAUUUCUUCAUGAUGGUCGAUUUCUGUUCACCGGAUCUUACAUGUUUAAUUAUGUGUGCUCGGAACCAAAAACUGAUUGAGAUCUUCAGUUCUUACUUGCAGAUGUUCUGUUAUUCAGAGUAAUUCAGUUUCCAGUCUCUGUGUAUUAAUCAAAUUAUGGGUUAUUUUCAACCAUAUAGGCUUUUAUUAUAUGUUCAGUUAUGCUUCCAUGGGUUUUGCAUAUGUAUUAACAAAACAACCAGACUGCUAUUCUGUAUAUACUUGGAUCAAAGGGUGUACAAUUAAUUUGCUCUUACGAAAGGAAUGAGUAGGCAGAUAGCAGAAUGGGAGGACAAUCAUGACAAGCGAAGGAACACAUAAAUAGUAAUCCCACAAUUUUUACAACUGCAUUCCACUUUAAUUUGUCAUGGACAUGCAUUUUUAUCCUUGGGGUACUUUGGAUUUUAAGUGGGAAUCAUUGGUUCUUUUCUUCUUAAUAUUUUACUUCUUAUAAUUACAAAUACCAAUUUUAGAGAAUUGAGCUCGUACUUAAAAUUCAAUUGAGUAUGAAGCCACUGCCCGUUGUGUGGAAGGAACAAUUAUAACAUUGUACUCUAACAAAUCACACAUAUAGAGAAAUGUUAUUUUCGAGUCUCCUUAACCUAAUGAUCUUUUUUUAGAUAUAUGAAACUUGCAUUUGUUUUCUUAAUUCUUCUGGAAUGCAGGUGAUAUUCCUAAUGGUUGCUGCUGACGCUAAAAAAUUUACUCCUGAAGCACUAGAAGUGCCCUCUCUAUGGCGCAUCACUCACUGGAUCCAGAUGGGCAACAUUCCGCUUAAAGAUUAAAGAGCACCAUUUUUGCAUGCUAUCAUUGCUUAUCCAAGAGUAAUCUACCAUGUGCCUAAUAUAUAUACAUGAUUGUUGCACCAUCACAAGAUUUCCAUUAUAUACAUGGCCAUAACUUUCUUUACUGUGAAUUAAUCGACACGAUGCUUCUGUUUUAAGGAAUGGCAAUGCUAAAUUCUACAGUGGUACUCUCUACUCUGUCGAAUGUUUACAAACACCACAAAGCUAGAGAUCUAUUGUGGAAACCUUUCUUUCUUUUGUUUGUUAUAACUUCUUAGUGUAAAAAUAAAUAUGGCUUGUCCAUUACGAAACAAAUAUGUAAAAUUUAUUACUUUUCAAAGUUGAAUUGUUCCUGACAAUUACACAUGAGAGUGCAUAUAAUUGAGUUGUGCUGACUUGCUGUUUCUAAAAUGAUAAGCUGGAGCUGGAGUUACAUAUGAGAGUAGAGAUAAUUAAGUUGUGCUCCUGACUUGAUUAACAAAAGCUGCAGAAGAAAGGGACAAAAUACCAAAAAGCUGAAAAUUUGAAGAAAGGUGGAAGUAGGGAACUACACAACUUGAUUCAAGGUUACGAAGGGACAAAGGGCAUUGAUUGAGCAGGAGAAAACAAUAAUGGGCCGAGGCAAGGAUAUAGUGCUCAGUUAGUAAAGAGAUAUGUGGGAAGUGGAGCAGCGGGAUGCAAAUGGAAUUUUUGUGACUCGCUGAAGGUGAGCAAAACUUCAGAAAAGAAAUUGCAACAGAAGUAGAGCCUCAUCACCAAGAGAACAUAGGGAUUUUAAGUUUUUUGUAGCCUGCACCGGAGACUGUAGAGUUAAGUUUCUACAUCUCAGUGUACAGUUUAACUAUAUCAGGUUAUUUACUAUGUAGUAAAUAUUUGCUUUUGCCAUUGCUGAUCAUGUCCUUCUCUUUGUGCUUGGAAGCAUAAACUUACUUAGUGAUCCUUUUCUGUUAGGCUAAACUUACAUCCUUCUGCUAAUAGUUUAGUGAUCUAAUGAUUGUAAUGAUUAUUCAAAAGGGACGUUGCAUGUUCCUAGAUGCAUAGCCUUUCUUAU
rnacentral:lncRNA from 1 species